GACGAACGCUGGCGGCGUGCUUAACACAUGCAAGUCGAGCGGUAAGGCCCUUUCGGGGGUACACGAGCGGCGAACGGGUGAGUAACACGUGGGUGACCUGCCCUCAGCUCUGGGAUAAGCCUGGGAAACCGGGUCUAAUACUGGAUAUGACUCCAUGACGCAUGUUGUGGGGUGGAAAGCCUUGUGCGGCUGAGGAUGGGCCCGCGGCCUAUCAGCUUGUUGGUGGGGGAUGGCCUACCAAGGCGACGACGGGUAGCCGGCCUGAGAGGGCGACCGGCCACACUGGGACUGAGACACGGCCCAGACUCCUACGGGAGGGCAGCAGUGGGGAA
rnacentral:rRNA from 1 species